AGCAUGUGGCUUAAUUUGACUCAACGCGGGAAAUCUUACCGGGUCCGGACACACUGAGGAUUGACAGGCAAUAAAUUAAAAUAUAUUAUAUAUUUUAUGUUAAAUAUGCUAGUCCUUUCAUGAUUAUGUGAUAGGUGGUGCAUGGCCGUUCUUAGUUCGUGGAGUGAUCUGUCUGCUUAAUUGCGUUUCACUAAGGGCUUAUUAAUUUAACGUGUGUUGUUAGGCGUUAACUUUGACCCCUAAUUUUAAUAAAAUUAGUGCGUGUCUUAGUUUUUAUUGCUUUUAACUCACACAAUUAAGUCCUGAAAGCAACGAACGUGACCGCAACCUCUUGUUGCCUUUAUAUAUUUAUUUAUUUACGCCUCGCGCGUAAAAAAAUUAAAAAAAAAGGGCUUUUAAACUAGAGGGACCGCUGUAACUUUUUUAAACCAGAGGAAGGUUGCGGCAAUAACAGGUCUGUGAUGCC
rnacentral:rRNA from 1 species